GAUGAACGCUAGCGGCAGGCCUAAUACAUGCAAGUCGAACGGGAUCUGAGGGUAGCUUGCUACCCGAUUUGAGAGUGGCGCACGGGUGCGUAACGCGUGAGCAACCUACCCAUAUCAGGGGGAUAGCCCGAAGAAAUUCGGAUUAACACCGCAUAAUAAUACGCUAACACAUGUUGAUGUAUUUAAAUAUUUAUAGGAUAUGGAUGGGCUCGCGUGACAUUAGCUAGUUGGUAAGGUAACGGCUUACCAAGGCGACGAUGUCUAGGGGCUCUGAGAGGAGAAUCCCCCACACUGGUACUGAGACACGGACCAGACUCCUACGGGAGGCAGCAGUAAGGAAUAUUGGUCAAUGGGCGCAAGCCUGAACCAGCCAUGCCGCGUGCAGGAUGACUGCCCUAUGGGUUGUAAACUGCUUUUGUUAGGGAAUAAACCUACUUAUGUAUAAGUAGCUGAAUGUACCUAAAGAAUAAGGAUCGGCUAACUCCGUGCCAGCCGCCGCAGUAAGAC
rnacentral:rRNA from 1 species